rnacentral:rRNA from 1 species
ACACGACUACAUUAGAUACCCGGGUAGUCCCAGCCCUAAACGAUGCGCGUUAGGUGUAUCGGUGACCACGAGUCACCGAGGUGCCGAAGGGAAACCGUGAAACGUGCCGCCUGGGAAGUACGGUCGCAAGGCUGAAUCUUAAAGGAAUUGGCGGGGGAGCACCACAACGGGUGGAGCCUGCGGUUUAAUUGGACUCAACGCCGGGAAGCUCACCGGAUAAGACAGCGGAAUGAUUGCCGGGCUGAAGACCCUGCAUGACCAGCUG